CGUCGAGAUGUAAGGGCACAUGGUGGAUGCCUAGACAUUGUAUAGCUAUGAAGGACGUAGCAACCUGCGAAAAGCUUCGGCGAGGUGGUAAGCAACCUUUGACCCGGAGAUCUCCGAAUGAGGCAACUCACUAACGUAGACCGUUAGUAUCUUCUAUCUAAUUCAUAGGGUAGAAGAAGCACACCCAGGGAAGUGAAACAUCUCAGUACCUGGAGGAAAAGAAACAGACAUGUAUUCCCCUAGUAGUGGCGAACGAACGGGGAGAAGCCCAAACCGUGAAUCGGUAAAACGAUUCGCGGGGUUGUGAGGUCAAAACGAUAGGCUUCGAGCCUGGUAGAGUUUUUUAAAAGAACUUAUAUAGCAGAAGAGCGUGGAACCGCUCACCAAAGAAGGUGAAAGUCCUGUACGCAAAAUAUAAUUUCGCUUUACGGUUUUAAUUCUCGAGUAAGAUGGGACACGUGAAAUCCUAUCUGAAUCUACCGCGACUAUGUGGUAAGGCUAAAUAUGUACAAUGAUCGAUAGUGAACCAGUACCAUGAGGGAAAGGUGAAAAGUACCCCGGAAGGGGAGUGAAAUAGUAUCUGAAACCGUGUGUCUACAACAAAUCGGAGCACGCAAGUGCGACGGUGUGCCUAUUGAAGAAUGACCCAACGAGUUAUAGCAAGCAGCGCGAUUAAUCCCGAAAAGGGAGAAGUCAUAGGGAAACCGAGUGUGAAUAGCGCGUUUAGUUGUUUGCUAUAGACCCGAAACCGUGUGAUCUAUCCAUGACCAGGUUGAACCCUCUGUAACAGGAGGGGGAGGACCGAACCCACGAGUCGUAUAACGCUCGGGGAUGAGUUGUGGAUCGUAGAGAAAUUCUAAUCGAACUCGGUAAUAGCUGGUUCUCUCCGAAAUAUCUUUUGGGAUAGCCCUGUAAACUACCUGUCGGGGGUAGAGCACUGAAUGGGCGUGGAGCCGCAAGGUAUCCACCCUAACCAAACUCCGAAUACCGACAGAGACUAUUACAGGAGUCAGAACGUGGGGGCUAAGCUUCAUGUUUCAAAAGGGAAACAGCCCAGAUCGCCAUCUAAGGUCCCUAAAUCUAUGUUAAGUGUGAAAGGUAGUGAGACGACUUCGACAACCAGGAGGUUGGCUUAGAAGCAGCCAUCCUUUAAAGAAAGCGUAACAGCUCACUGGUCGAGUUAUCUUGCGCCGAAAAUGUAACGGGGCUCAAACAUAGCACCGAAGGUGCGGACUUUAUGCGUUUAACGCAUAGAUUGGUAGGAGAGCGUUCGUUGUGCGACGAAGUCGGACCCGCGAGGGCCUAUGGAGCGCAACGAAGUGAGAAUGUUGGGAUGAGUAACACAAAUUAUUGUGAGAAUCAAUAACAUCGUAAAUCCAAGGUUUCCUGGGCAACGCUGAUCGUCCCAGGGUUAGGCGGUCCUAAGGCGAGGCUGAAAAGCGUAGUCGAUGGACAGACGGUUAAUAUUCCGUCCCUACUAUAUAUUUGUGAUUUUUGACGCUGUCUGAAACUAUGCACGGUCCUAUGGACCGGACCGUUGAUCUAUGUGAACAAUGUAGGUCGCAAGAGUAAGGGGCAACCCGAGCUCAAGGCAUGGGGACAGGGGGCCAAGAAAAGCAAAAUCACGCAUGGUAUAUAGUAUCCGUACCGGAAACCAACACAGGUGGAUGAGGAGAGUAUCCUCAGAUGUACGAGAGAACCCUCGUUUAGGAACUCGGCAAAACAACGGCCGUAACUUCGGGAUAAGGCCUCCCCCCAUAGCGAUAUGAGGGGGUUCAAUGAAAGAUUGGUUGCGACUGUUUAUCAAAAACACAGGUCCCUGCGAAAGCGUAAGCUGAAGUAUAGGGGCUGAUGCCUGGCCAGUGUCCGAACGUUAAGGAAGGGGGUGAGCAAUUUAUUGCGUAGCUCUUGACCGAAGCGCGGAUGAACGCCGGCGAUAACUAUAAUCGUCCUAAGGUUCUCUGUUCUUCUUUUGAAGAAUGGAGAAGAGUUGGGACGGUUGUAGGUAAAGAUAACAGAUGAAAGCUGCCUCGCUCUCUAGUAAUAGAGAGAUGACUCAAAUACAUGACCAUAUGCUGGAAAGUGUAUGCUCACUAUGGUAAAAUCUACACAUAGUAUGCGGAACACCAAUCAGCAGGAAAGAUCCGAAAUCAGUGGAUGGAUAACAGGCUUCGUUGAUGGAGAAGGAUGCUUUUCAGUAAGCAUCAUUCGAAAUUCAACAACACGCCUCGGAUGGCAAGUGUUUCCAGAGUUUGUGGUGACCCAAAGUAGCAAGAGUCAAGCUUCGCUCGAAAUUAUUCAACAUUUUUUCGAGUGUGGAAAGAUUUACGCGAACAGACGUCACGACAAUCACAAAGACACUUUGCUCCGCUUCUGUGUUCGAUCACAGAAAGACUUACGAGAAAAAAUUAUUCCAUUUUUCCAAACGCACACUCUGCGUACAGAAAAAAGAAAAGAUUUUGAACUCUUUGUAUCAAUUCUUGAGAUUAUGCGCGAAGGAGAACAUCAAACGUUUUCCGGAGUGCAAAAAAUCGCUCGAAAAAUACAACAGAUGAAUCGUAAAAUUCCUUCACGAUUUUUGAAAUCCUCAGAGACUACACGUCAUGCUCCUGCUCAAUAAGCAGGAUGAAGAUAUAGUCCAAAGCACAUGGAAGCUUCGAGCGAAAUUCCUUGUCGGGUGAACAAUGUUCCUCCUGGUCGGAGAGAACUUGCCCGAACAGUCUGGUAACAGACUGACAGCAAACUGGCUCAUAACGGUGAAUUCUAACUUUGCGUUUUGCGCAAAUAAGAAAAUACCGUGGGAAGUCGCCACUAUAAGUGGUUGACCCCGUAACGACUGAUCCAUUUUUAUGGAGAGGCUUAUCGCAAGAUGGGCAACACGCCAGCUCUUUUUAAGAAAUUUUCUUGAAGAAGAUGAAGGUAUAGUCUGAUCAAUAUGGAAACAUAUUGCUAACAUGAAGUUCCGACCUGCACGAAUGGCAUAACGACAUCCAAACUCUCUCAACGAGGGACUCGGUGAAAUUACAGGUCCGGUGAAGAUGCCGGAUACCCGCAGCUAGACGAAAAGACCCCGUGAAGCUUUACUACAACUUGGCAUUGAUAUAGCGAAUUAUUUGCUCAGUAUAGGUGGGAGACUUUGAGGCCACGACUUCGGUUGUGGCAGAGUCGAAAUAUGAGAUACCACUCUGAUGAUUUGUUAUGUCUAACCUUCCCCCGUGAAUCCGGGGGCGGAACAGUGUCUGGUGGGUAGUUUAACUGGGGCGGUUGCCUCCUAAAAAAUAACGGAGGCGUUCACAAAGGUUGGCUAGAUUCGAAUGGAAACCGAAUCGAUAGUGCAAAGGCAUAAGCCAGCUUUACUGCAAGACUGACACGUCGCGCAGUUACGAAAGUAGGACUUAGUGAUCCGACCGUACGAAAUAGGACGGCGGAAGCUCAUCGGAUAAAAGUUACUCCGGGGAUAACAGGCUAGUCUGGUCCAAUAGUCCACAUAGACGACCAGGUUCGGCACCUCGAUGUCGGCUCAUCGCAUCCUGGGGGUGAAGCAUCUCCCAAGGGUUUGGCUGUUCGCCAAUUAAAGCGGUACGUGAGUUGGGUUCAGAACGUCGUGAGACAGUUCGGUCUCCUAUCUGCUGUGGGCGUAGAAUUUUGAGGGGUCCAUUCUUUAGUACGAGAGGACCGAGAAUGACGAAGCUCUUGUGUACCGGUUGUCCCACCAGGGGCAUUGCCGGGUAGCGACCUUCGGUUAGGAUAACUGCUGAAAGCAUCUAAGCAGGAAGCCGUCCCCAAGAUAAGAAUUCAUUAUCAGACUCCUAGAAGACCACUAGGUUGAUAGGCUUCAGGUGGAAGCGCAGUAAUGCGUGCAGCCAAGAAGUACUAAUACGUCGAUCUCGACGCG
rnacentral:rRNA from 1 species